AGAAAAAAAUGGGUCCACUAUCCUUGCACGUCGCCCAGAUGGGAUCCCAAAUCCCCGGUCGUGCUCCUCCCCAAAUUGAUAGGUUCCUCGCUGCCUCUAAUCUCCAUGGCGCCGAGCCGCGCCGCCACUUCUCUUCCCACUGCGACACGCCCUCCCAUGGUUCCAUCCCAGCCGAGAUCCAGCUGGAUCGAGUCCUGCACCGGCACCAUGCCGUUUCACCGUGGGAAAUCCUCGUUGGGGCAUCCAUGAUUGGAGGCGCCAGCUGCAGCUCACCUUGUUCACCGGCCCUUCUCGGCAGCGACGCCAGCGCACGUCUCCACCCACCUUACUUCACCCUUGUAGCGUGCUUUCUUCUCUAAGAACUGGUAUUUUCCUGCAAGUUUGAAGAUUCAAUCUGAAGGGUUGUUCCAAGAGCUCCAAUUGGUAUGCAAGAUUGCAAGAUGCUGAUACGUUGUUGAUUUAUGCUGAUACGGUGUUGAUUCGAUGGAUCUGGAGAAGAUCGACCAUCCUUGGUGAUUACGCGCAAGCUAAUGUGGUCCCAUUUGGUGUAUGCUUAUGUUCUAUAAAUGAAUAAAUACCUGAAAUCAAAGAUCUCACACCAUUGCGGCCAUCCUGCGGGUGCAAGGGAUUGGCGGAAGCAUGUUUCAUCUCUUUGGAAGCAAGUCAUAAUUUCUUGAGAAAUGUCUGCGCGUGAUGCAGUUCCACAACACCUCCACACUAGCCGGCGUCGGGACCUAGAAGAUGCACCCUCGCACAUGGAUUCCUCAGCAUUGAGAUCCACAAGAUUGCUGAUUUCAGAUAAGCACACACUCUACAAGUCCGACGAGCUGGUGACUCCAUGCUCCAUCAAGGGCGUCCGAUGUCGUUAACAGUGUCCGCUUUGCUGCUGAUCUUAGGCAUGGGAAUGGUGAUGGUUGCGACACCGUGAAUUGCGGUAGCCAUGCCGAUGGAGUCCAAAUCUUCAAUACAGCGAUGACCAGCAGGCGCACGACGACGAUCUCAUUUGCCAACAACGUGCUCGUGUCUUUGCCACUUAGUUGAUUAUUUGUACUCACAACAUACAGUUGAUCUGAAGCUUUGGUCUGUAAUAGGAAGCACUUAGUUCGUGAUCCAUUACCAUUUGAAACAUAGGUUUACAAGAGCAAAUCUGGCAUUCAUUGGUAGCAAAGUUUCAUUUCGUUGGUAGCACGUCCAGAAUUCGUUUGAAGCACUUGUAAUACAGUACUCUUUUAUGUGGAAGCAUAUUUCUUUUUU